rnacentral:rRNA from 1 species
GAUCCUGGCUCAGGAUGAACGCUGGCGGCGUGCUUAACACAUGCAAGUCGAGCGAAGCACUUUGGAAAGAUUCUUCGGAUGAUUUCCUUUGUGACUGAGCGGCGGACGGGUGAAGGUAACCGCGUGGGUAACCUGCCUCAUACAGGGGGAUAACAGUUAGAAAUGACUGCUAAUACCGCAUAAGACCACGGUACCGCAUGGUACAGUGGUAAAAACUCCGGUGGUAUGAGAUGGACCCGCGU